AGAACGCGCUGGGAUGGGAACCGCGUUCAGGAGCUGCUAAGCGCGUUUGAGACUUCAGCCCCUUCUCCAGCUUUUAACCUAAAAGGGCUAAAUCAGACCGCAGCUAGUGUACACCCCUACCCUCCGCUGAUCCCGUCACCCCUGCGCCGAAAGCAAAAGACCCAUUCCAGCUCUGGACGUUGUGAGGCCUGGCCCAGGCGUCCGCUCUCUGGUUUUCCUAUUGAUCUUACCCCUGGCUGCAGGAGAUCACCCCUUGAUUCACAGGAAUAAGCAGCGUUCAUCCAAAAUGUUGGCAAAAAGUUUACAAACAGUCCAGACGCCGUGGCUCACAUCUGUAAUCCCAGCGCUUUGGGAGGCCGAGGUAGGAGGAUAACUUGAGGUCAGGAGUUCCACACCAACCUGGUCAAUGUGGUGAAACCCCGUCUCUACUAAAAAACAGUUAGCUGGGCAUGGUGGCAGGUGCCUGUAAUCCCAGCUACUCGGGAGGCUGAGGCAGGAGAAUCACUUGAACCCGGAAGGCGGAGGUUGCAGUGAGCCGAGAUUGUGCCCCUGCAGUCCAGCCUGGGUGACAGCGUGAGACUGACAGAG
rnacentral:lncRNA from 1 species